UGUGACCUCAAAUCAGGUAGGACUACCCGCUGAACUUAAGCAUAUCAAUAAGCGGAGGAAAAGAAACUAACAAGGAUUCCCCUAGUAACUGCGAGUGAAGCGGGAAAAGCUCAAAUUUAAAAUCUGGCAGUCUUUGGCUGUCCGAGUUGUAAUCUAGAGAAGUGUUAUCCGCGCUGGACCGUGUACAAGUCUCCUGGAAUGGAGCGUCAUAGAGGGUGAGAAUCCCGUCUUUGACACGGACUACCAGGGCUUUGUGAUGCGCUCUCAAAGAGUCGAGUUGUUUGGGAAUGCAGCUCAAAAUGGGUGGUAAAUUCCAUCUAAAGCUAAAUAUUGGCGAGAGACCGAUAGCGAACAAGUACCGUGAGGGAAAGAUGAAAAGAACUUUGGAAAGAGAGUUAAACAGUACGUGAAAUUGCUGAAAGGGAAACGCUUGAAGUCAGUCGCGUUGUCCAGGGAUCAACCUUGCUUUUGCUUGGUGCACUUUCUGGUUGACGGGUCAGCAUCAAUUUUGAUCAUUGGAAAAAGAUUGAGGGAAUGUGGCAUCUUUGGAUGUGUUAUAGCCCUUAGUUGCAUACAAUGGUUGGGAUUGAGGAACUCAGCACGCCGCAAGGCCGGGUUUUUAACCACGUACGUGCUUAGGAUGCUGGCAUAAUGGCUUUAAUCGACCCGUCUUGAAACACGGACCAAGGAGUCUAACAUGCCUGCGAGUGUUUGGGUGGAAAACCCGAGCGCGUAAUGAAAGUGAAAGUUGAGAUCCCUGUCGUGGGGAGCAUCGACGCCCGGACCAGACCUUUUGUGACGGUUCCGCGGUAGAGCAUGUAUGUUGGGACCCGAAAGAUGGUGAACUAUGCCUGAAUAGGGUGAAGCCAGAGGAAACUCUGGUGGAGGCUCGUAGCGAUUCUGACGUGCAAAUCGAUCGUCAAAUUUGGGUAUAGGGGCGAAAGACUAAUCGAACCAU
rnacentral:rRNA from 1 species